rnacentral:rRNA from 1 species
AUUGAACGCUGGCGGAAUGCUUUACACAUGCAAGUCGAGCGGCAGCACGGGGGCAACCCUGGUGGCGAGCGGCGAACGGGUGAGAAAUACAUCGGACUAUGCCCACUAGCGGGCGAUAACACCUCGAAAGAAGUGCUAAUACCCCAUACGUCCUGCGGGGGAAAGCGGGUGAUCACGGGACCUCGCGCCCUUGUAGUCCCCGAUGUCAGAUUAGCUAGUUGGUGGGGUAAAGGCCCACCAAGGCAACGAUCUGUAGCUGGUCUGAGAGGAUGAUCAGCCACACUGGGACUGAGACACGGCCCAGACUCCUACGGGAGGCAGCAGUGGGGAAUUUUGGACAAUGGGGGCAACCCUGAUCCAGCCAUGCCGCGUGAGUGAAGAAGGCCUUCGGGUUGUAAAGCUCUUUCGGCAGGAACGAAACGGUGAGCUCUAACACCGCGUGCUAAUGACGGUACCUGAAGAAGAAGCACCGGCUAACUACGUG